GACGAACGCUGGCGGCGUGGAUUAGGCAUGCAAGUCGAACGGUAUCAUCCUUUCGGGGGUGAGAGAGUGGCGAACUGGUGAGUAACACGUAGGUUAUCUACCCUCAAGACGGGGACAACCCAGGGAAACUUGGGCUAAUACCGGAUGUGAGCAACUUUUAGUUGUUUGAAAGGUGGCGUAAGCUGUCGCUUGGGGAUGAGCCUGCGUCCUAUUAGUUAGUUGGUGAGGUAACGGCUCACCUAGGCAAUGAUAGGUAGGCGGCCUUAACGGGUGGUCGCCCACACUGGGAUUGAGAUACGGCCCAGACUCCUACGGGAGGCAGCAGUCGAGAAUAGUCUACAAUGGUCGGAAGACUGAUAGUGCGACGCCGCGUGAACGAUGAAUCCCUUCGGGGUGUAAAGUUCUUUUAUAUGUGAGCAGUGCUUCUUAUAUUAACAGUAUGGGGAGAGAGAUAUUAGCAUAUGAAUAAGCAACGGCUAACUCCGUGCCAGCAGCCGCGGUAAAUCGU
rnacentral:rRNA from 1 species